rnacentral:rRNA from 1 species
AGUGAACGCUGGCGGCGUGCUUAACACAUGCAAGUCGAACGAGAACGGAUUAUAGCUUGCUAUAAUUGUCAGCUAAGUGGCGCACGGGUGAGUAAUGUAUAGGUAAUAUGCCUCUUACUAAGGGAUAACAAAUGGAAACGUUUGCUAAUACCUUAUACUCCUUAUUAACAGAAGUUAAUAAGGGAAAGAUUUAUUGGUGAGAGAUUAGCCUGUAUUGUAUCAGUUAGUUGGUGGGGUAAUGGCUUACCAAGACUAUGACACAUAACUGGUUUGAGAGGAUGAUCAGUCACACUGGAACUGAGACACGGUCCAGACUCCUACGGGAGGCAGCAGUGGGGAAUAUUGCACAAUGGACGAAAGUCUGAUGCAGCAACGCCGCGUGAGGAUGACACAUUUCGGUGCGUAAACUCCUUUUAUAUGAGAAGAUAAUGACGGUAUUAUACGAAUAAGCACCGGCUAACUCCGUGCCAGCCGCCGCCGUAA